rnacentral:rRNA from 1 species
AGAGUUUGAUCCUGGCUCAGGAUGAACGCUGGCAGCGUGCCUAACACAUGCAAGUCGAGCGCGGGCCUUACCUUUUGGUGGGGUUCCGAGCGGCGGACGGGUGAGUAAUGCGUAGGUAACCUACCCCUGGGAGGGGGACAACCCUUCGAAAGGGGGGCUAAUACCCCGUAAGGCACAUAGGCGUAGGUGUCUAUGUGUGAAAGGGUCUCACUUUUGUGGGGCUGCCUGGGGAUGGGCCUGCGUCCUAUCAGCUAGUUGGUGGGGUAAUGGCCUACCAAGGCUGAGACGGGUAACUGGCCUGAGAGGGUGGUCGGUCACACUGGGACUGAGACACGGCCCAGACUCCUACGGGAGGCAGCAGUGGGGGAUAUUGGGCAAUGGCCGGAAGGCUGACCCAGCGACGCUGCGUGCGGGAAGUAACCCUUCGGGGUGUAAACCGCUGUUUGUGGGGGAAGAAGAUCUGACGUACCUCCCCCAGAAAACCUUUAAAC